CAGACGCGGGAGACGAGAGGUUGACAGGCGGACAGAAAUUCAGUUUUAUUUGUAAUUGUGUAAAUAUUUCCACAAAUACUUGUCUUAAAAGUCAUAGGACCAGAGGAGAAGUGCUUGAGUCCUGAUUUCUAGAGCUUUGAGGUCCUAUUGUAUGCAGAAAUUUUAUUCAGACGACAUUUCAAUGUCAUCAGUGACAGCAUACAAUGGCAGUAGUGCAGGAUGGCUGGAACAAGUGGGUGUUGGGUACGAGUGUCCUGGGUGUGGGCCUCAGUACAGCACGUCACUACACACUUGCUACUCCCUAACCCCACAGGAACAGUCUACCAUGCUCAUCCAGCGACAGCAUGGUGCAAGUUUUACUUCAUUUACAAUAGUGCUUAAACUAAGAACUGAUACUAGCCAUUAGUAUCUAUGAAACAAUUGCUAAAGUGUAGAUAGUAAAAAAUACAACAGGAACUGUAAUGACUGCGUGAAAAUAUAAAACAAGUAUUGUACAGUAGGUGGUAAGAAGCUAGUGUGUUCACACACACACACACACACAAGGUAACAAAUGGCCUUCUUAGUGACUUCCUGUGCACUCAUUCGCCUCUCCUCCCAUUUCCUGGGUAGGUCACACAGUGAAACAUUAUCCUUAAACAGGUUGCCUCUCAUUGUGUCUUCACAUUUAAUUGUCUCAGGUCCAAAAUGACUGAUGGCCUUUUAGUUGCAGAGCGCAUAAAGCACACUGAACGUUAGGACUCGUUAUACAAGGUGGCCAACACUGCAUUAGAUCACCUACACUUCCCAAAAUAAAACAGGUAGCCAUUAACAGGCGGGUAGAUUGUUAGUACCCUGGGUUAGAACCAGAGACCCAGAGGGCAGGAUGAGAGCACUGCACCCACUAGGCUGUUGUACAAUAUAUUACAGUGAACAUGCAUUCACUAUGAAGUAAACUUUACAAAAAUAAUCAAUGCAUGCUCCCUCCUAUAUAAAACAGUAGCGUGUAUUGUCCUUCAUCUCAAAAGAUUAAGAAGAGUGGCCUUGGAAGAUAACCGCCUACGGGAGAAGUAAAGGUUGG